rnacentral:rRNA from 1 species
UACGUAGGUGGCAAGCGUUGUCCGGAUUUAUUGGGGUUAAAGGGUGCGUAGGCGGCCUUGUAAGUCAGUGCUGAAAUAUCCCGGCUUAACCGGGAGGGUGGCAUUGAUACUGCAGGGCUUGAGUAAAGUUGAGGUUGGCGGAAUUGACGGUGUAGCGGUGAAAUGCUUAGAUAUCGUCAAGAACACCGAUAGUGAAGACAGCUAACUAAGCUUUAACUGACGCUGAGGCACGAAAGUGUGGGGAUCAAACAGG